rnacentral:rRNA from 1 species
GGAUGAACGCUAGCGGCAGGCUUAACACAUGCAAGUCGAGGGGCAGCACGAUGUAGCAAUACAUUGGUGGCGACCGGCGCACGGGUGCGUAACACGUAUGGAACUUGCCCUUUACUGGGAGAUAGCCCUCCGAAAGGAGGAUUAAUAUCCCAUAACAAACGAGGUGGCAUCACCUUGUUUUGAAAGCUCCGGCGGUAAAGGAUGGCCAUGCGCACGAUUAGCUAGUUGGUGAGGUAACGGCUCACCAAGGCUACGAUCGUUAGGGGGCCUGAGAGGGUUAUCCCCCACACUGGUACUGAGACACGGACCAGACUCCUACGGGAGGCAGCAGUGAGGAAUAUUGCGCAAUGGAGGAAACUCUGACGCAGCCAUGCCGCGUGCAGGAAGAAGGCGCUACGCGUUGUAAACUGCUUUUAACCGGGAAGAAACCCCUUUACGUGUAAAGGGUUGACGGUACCGGAGGAAUAAGCACCGGCUAACUUCGUGCCAGCAGCCGCGGUAAUACGAAGGGUGCAAGCGUUAUCCGGAUUCAUUGGGUUUAAAGGGUGCGUAGGCGGGGCGUUAAGUCAGUGGUGAAAUCCUGCAGCUCAACUGUCGACUUGCCAUUGAUACUGACGCUCUUGAGUGCGCUUGAAGUAGGCGGAAUGUGCCGUGUAGCGGUGAAAUGCUUAGAUAUGGCACAGAACACCAAUUGCGAAGGCAGCUUACUAAGGCGAUACUGACGCUGAGGCACGAAAGCGUGGGGAUCGAACAGGAUUAGAUACCCUGGUAGUCCACGCCGUAAACGAUGAUCACUCGUCAUUGGCGAUAUACUGUCAGUGACCUAGCGAAAG